GUGCUCACUUCUGCAGCACAUAUACUAAAAUUGGAAUGACACAGAGAAGAUCAGCAUGGCUCCUGUGAGAGGAUGACAUGCAAAUUCAUGAAGCGUUAAAAAAAAAA